AACGUAAGGGAAAAUAAUGAUACUACCUUACUAAUAGUGUCGGCCAAAUCUGGUGCCAGAAGACUCGGUAAGGCCAGAGACGCAAACGUUAAUCAUCAUAAACAGGCGUAAAGGGUUUGUAGGCAGCUUCUAACGUUUUUAUUUUAAUAUAGCUCGUGAUACUAUUUAUUUUAAAUAGUCAUUAAUCAUAUGAAAUCAAAAUAAAUGGAAGCUAGAAUCAAAUAGAGGUUAAAUCAUAUAAUGCUUAGAGUAGGGUUCCAAUCCGCAAAUACUAAGUAGAAUACUAAAGGCGAAGGCAUUUUUCCACUAAUGAUUGACGCUGAGAAACGAAGGGUAGGAUAGGAAAUAGGAUUAGAGACCCAUGAACCCCUCACUGUCAACGAUGAAUGGUAGUUAUCAGUUUAAUUACUGGUUUCGAUGUUAACACGAUAACCAUUCCGCCUUGUGAGUACGAUUGCAAAAUUGAAAACAAAAAAAUUAGUCGGUCUCG
rnacentral:rRNA from 1 species